rnacentral:rRNA from 1 species
AACUCUUAGUGGUGGAUCACUUGGCUCGUGCGUCGAUGAAGAACACAGCUAGCUGUGCAAAGUAAUGUGAAUUGCAGGACACAUUGAUCACUGACACUUCAAAUGCGCCUUGCGGCCCCAGGUUCCCCCCGGGGCUGUGCCUGUCUGAGGGGAU